AGCCUGUGAUGAAGAAAAAUGAGUAAGAGUAGUGGACAGAAGUGGUUUCUGAAAAUAUAUUUCUGAGGCU